UAUUAAAAAAAUCAUUUAUUUGUAUUAUUAAAAAUUGGUGCACCUGUCAAAAUAACCAGAAAUAACACGUGGUGCCAUGUGUACGUCAUGCUGACGUACAGAGACUAACUUUUAACAGUAAAAACGGAUAUAAUUUUUAACA
rfam:Gossypium raimondii Chr02_contig_1155, whole genome shotgun sequence.